rfam:Schistocephalus solidus strain NST_G2 genome assembly, scaffold: SSLN_contig0000869
GGCCUCGUAGCUAAGUAGGCUAGAGCGUUUGCUGUACUAAAGCCUUCUUCUUGCUGGCGUGGGUUCGAAUCCCACCGAGGCUA